AGGGUGACAGGUGGUGCAUGGUUGUCGUCAGCUCGUGUCGUGAGAUGUUGGGUUAAGUCCCGCAACGAGCGCAACCCUCGACCUUAGUUGCCAGCAUUCAGUUGGGCACUCUAAGGUGACUGCCGGCUAAAAGUCGGAGGAAGGUGGGGGAUGACGUCAAAUCAUCAUGCCCCUUACUGACCUGGGCUACACACGUGCUACAAUGGGCGGUACAAAGGGUCGCGAACCCGCGAGGGGGAGCCAAUCCCAAAAAGCCGCUCUCAGUUCGGAUUGCAGGCUGCAACUCGCCUGCAUGAAGCCGGAAUCGCUAGUAAUCGCGGAUCAGCAUGCCGCGGUGAAUACGUUCCCGGGCCUU
rnacentral:rRNA from 1 species